rnacentral:misc_RNA from 1 species
AACGCACCUUGCACCCCACGGCUUUCCGUGGGGUACGCCCGUUCGAGUGUCACGUUAACAUCGAGGUUUCCUCGGAUUUGGAUGCUGCCGGCGAAAGUCGGCUCGUCUCGAAAUGCAUUAGCUGGAGUGCUCGCAGGCACGGCGUUGAUAAUUUCCACGUCUUGACUUUGAGCGUUCCGCUUCCAAUCGCCCUCGCGGGCAAUUCACACCAAGUUUGACCUCGGAUCGGGUGGGACUACCCGCUGAACUUAA